rnacentral:rRNA from 1 species
AUUUUGUUUGAUCCUAGCUAUCAGCUUAGCUAACUUCUAAAAAAACAUAUGGAAGCCCCUACCCCCCAGUAAAGAUAUAAACUCAGCUAAUUUAAUUUUCUUAAUGAAUACUAAUUAGAAGUUUCUUAGAAUAAACUUUUAGUUUAAACUUAAAAAUUUUUACUCCCAAUGUAUAACCUUACUACAUACACGAAAGUGUGAAAUAGUUAAGAAAUUUUUAGAGCAGGUAAAAAGUGUGCCAGCAACCGCGGUUAGACACAAUGCUCAAGUUAAACAUAACGGUAAAACUAUGGUUAAACUUAAUUAAAGAUAAAAACAUAAGCCCCUCUAAGUCAAACUAAAAUCUUAAAUUUUCUUCCAUUAUCUUAUUUGUCUGCCAUGAAAGCUAAAACUAAAACUGGGAUUAGAUACCCCACUAUUUUUAGCACUAAAUCCCGCAUAAACCAGGGUAAUACGAUCGCAAGAUUAAAACCCAAAGGACUUGGCGGCGUUUUAUAUUCGAUCAGGGGAACCUGUCCUUUAACCCGACAAUCCGCGAAUAACUUUCUUAAUUUUGAAACAACCAGCCUAUUUAUUUCCGUCGAAAGUCUAUGCCUUAAAGCUUAAAGAAUAGGCUUAAUGAGUUAUUCUCUGUACGUCAGGUCGCGAUAUAGCCUAUAGUUAAGAAGAGAUGGGUUACAAUCUAAACUCAAGUUUCGGACUAAGACUUAACAAAUCUUAUAAAGUUGGACUUGCCAGUAAACGUAAAACAUCACCUUACUUUGAACAAGACCAUUUAAACGUGCACAAAUCGCCCGUCGCUCUUCUUGUAAAAGAAGAUAAGUCGUAACAUAGUUGGUGUAGCGGAAGCUGUACCU